CCUACCCCCAGCACCACUCAUAGACUUAUCCCCAGCACCACUCAUAGACCUAUCCCCAGCACCACUCAUAGACCUAUCCCCAGCACCACUCAUAGACCUAUCCCCAGCACCACUCAUAGACCUAUCCCCAGCACCACUCAUAGACCUAUCCCCAGCACCACUCAUAGACCUAUCCCCAGCACCACUCAUAGACCUAGCCCCAGCAGUAGACCCCUACCCAGGUGCUUCCACCAGAGCCAGCCCCUGCAGCCGUCCUCUUAGAGGGUAAAGGAGUGGAGCCAGCCCCUGCAGCCGUCCUCUUAGAGGGUAACGGAGUGGAGCCAGCCCCUAGCAGCAGCAUCCAUGGACCUGCUGGGCCUGAAAGAUAAAUGGAAUGAAGAGGGCCUUGACGAUCUGGACCUGGACAUCGACUUCUUAGACUGAAAGUGUUGGAGGAAUGUCCUUAAAGUGACUAAAGAACACGUGUUGUUCAUACUCCUAGUGAAACGGCGUGUGGGCGGGAGGUGGGGUUUUGACCUUUACAGUGAAACUGGUGAAAGUCGGGUGGAGCUGGUCUUUCGGUCUUUAAACUGUGAACCACAAUGCAAGGGGGUUUGUAGAACGCUUUGGGUGAGAAUGGAUGGACAGGGUCCCAUUCAUUAGGAACAAACGUAGGAAAUGUUUUGCAGCGGGAAAAAAUAUAUAUAUAUUUUUGAACAGGUACAAAUUUACUGUGUCGAAUCAAUUUCUGGUUAAAUGCUGAACGCGACUCCGGGGAGUAUUCAUUAGUCAGAUUUCAUUGCAUAACAUUUGGUCUGUUGCUAAAUGUUUUUGCAAUGGAUAACAAGUUUCUGUUGGACAAAUUCAAGUAGGUCCCUCCCCAUUUUGUUUUUUUUGCUUCCUAGAGUAAACUCUUUCCUUUGCAAAACAUUUAGCAACAGAAUCCAACUAAUAAAUACACCCCGAUUUUGAAAUCCUUUGUGCGGUACCUCAUCGUCCACUCUCACAUUGACCCACAGUAUAGAAUGAAAUGUAGUGUGAACCAGAGGGGGUCAUUGGGUUGAAAUGUUUACCUUAUCCAAUCACAUAGGAAGCUGGGAAUAGAGUAGUUCUCUACACUACGUCUUACCCCUAGAUAAGCAGGCUUACAGGGUCUAUCUUUCAUUAGUUAGGUUAGGUCCUCUCCACAGGUGUUGAGCUUGUGUUCAGUAUACCUCUACUUGUCUGGGCACGCAUGCUGCUCUGCCAUGGUCUAGUGCCUUAGGUCUCUGCUGUUUUUAAAGGGAACCUACUUCAUUGUUAUAGAUGUGAUUCCAAGUGCCUUCUGUAUGACUGGUCUGGAAAAGGGAAUGAAAUGUUAUCAACUCAAUAAAUAUGACAAGUGUUUGUCUGAAUCA